ACUCUUAUAAUUUAUAAAGAAUAACACACUGAAGAUGUGUAAGAAGUAAUUUACUUGAGAGUA
rnacentral:tRNA from 1 species